ACACUUGAAGAGCAUAAACCAGGAAAGC
rnacentral:piRNA from 1 species